rnacentral:rRNA from 1 species
AAUCAACGCUGGCGGCGUGCCUAGCACAUGCAAGUCGAACGCGAAAGCCCCGCAAGGGGCAAGUAGAGUGGCAAACGGGUGAGUAACACGUGGGUGACCUGCCUUCGAGCGGGGGAUAACGUCCCGAAAGGGACGCUAAUACCGCAUAACAUCCUGCCUUUGAAGAGGUGGAGAUCAAAGCUGGGGAUCGCAAGACCCGGCACUUGAAGAGGGGCCCGCGCCUGAUUAGCUAGUUGGUGGGGUAAUGGCCUACCAAGGCAACGAUCAGUAUCCGGCCUGAGAGGGCGGACGGACACACUGGGACUGAGACACGGGCCCAGACUCCUACGGGAGGCAGCAGUGGGGAAUUGUUCGCAAUGGGCGCAAGCCUGACGACGCAACGCCGCGUGGAGGAUGAAGAUUUUCGGGAUCGUAAACUCCUGUCGAAUGGGACG